GGAUCCAGUGGCCAUUCCGCUCUUCCCCCAGGGCGCCCCGAGUCUGGUAGUCAUUAAAAAGACAUAGCCCUUUAAAAGUGUGACACCGUCUUCCUUAAAGAGCCUGAAGCAAUGGCCCCAAAGAUAUCAGGACUCCACCUCCAGGACCUGAGACGGUGACCUUAUUGGGGAAAGAACUUUUUGUAGACUGUUGCCUUCAGAGCUCAGCCUUGCCUGAAAUCCAUCCACUCAAGAGCAGGUUCGCAAAGGGGAAAUGAAGGUCCACGGCAGAACGUGAAGAGGAAAAUGCUUUUCCAAACCCAGGCUGAGGACUGAGCCACGAGGUUGCCUGAUCUUCCCAGGUCCUCGUUCCUGAAUCCUGAUGGCCCAGGCAGUGCCUCUCCACCCAGCCCCCCGCCUGCCCAGACUCUGCCUCGGAACUAGAAGACUCUUCAAAAGAAAAAAGGGUGAAGCGAGCCAUGAGCAGAGGCUGGAAACAAAUAGUCCCCCUUUAGAUGUAGGUCAGCACUUCUCCACUGGCCCAACGCACACCGUCCCCCGUCCAGGAGGCGUGUCUGUUCAGCGGCACUAGCACCUCGCCCCAGCCCCUGCCGAAGGCAUCAAGCGUGGGCGAGGUCAGCCUCAAAAAUGAUUCUCCAAACGCGUUGGAUCUCCAGAUGCCUUCCGCGUAGAAAGCUAGGAUUCAUUUAUGAACAACCCGAAUCCGUUUCCCUGUAGGAGCAAAGGAGAAGAACGUGUCGUCUCCUCCAGACGGGGACACGGAGAACGGGGUGGCGUGAGGUCCCCUCUCAGAGGGGACGCGGGUCCUUUGGAAGAUGUGUCCUCGCCGUCUCCAGGGAACUGGAGGGGUGUCAGCUCCUCUGAAGCGAGUAUGCUGGUAAACGGAGAAUUUUCAAAGAAUUGGCUUUUUAAACAUUCAGUACCCAACGCGUUGAUGGACAAGUUCCACGUCAACUCAGUUGAAACGGCCAGCCUCCGACUGUCGGGUUGCUUGAUGUGACAAACCCAGCUCUAUGGCUGUGGCUGUAGACGGAGACGCUCACGUAAUGUGGGACGCGUGUUGGAUGCGGUGACUCUGCCACCUCUCGGUCUUUCGUAUCUGUCAGUCAUCCAUCUGCUGUCGUGGGUCACAUCUAUCCGUCUUUCAUCUCCCCAUGGCUCUAUCCCAUCUCCACUCUUCCAUCGCUCAGGAGCUGUGUAUCUAAUAUCAUCUGUCCACCCCCCAUCAUUGAUCUGCUCCAACAUCUCUCUACCACUGAUUGCAUCUGUAAGUCAUUCUUCUAUUUAUCUAUCAUUUUAUCUAUGUAUAUGUCUGUCCAUCCGGCCAAAAUAUCUAUUUAUCUAUCAACUGUCCAUCCAUCUUAUCUGUCUACCUAUUUCUCUAUCUUUUUAUCCAUCUAUCCAUCUCUAUCUAUAAUCGCUGUAUCCAUCUGUAUGUCUGUCUGUCUGUCCAUCCAUCCAUCAUAUCUUUCUGUCUGUCUGUCUUUCUAUCAUUGAUGUCUACUGUCUCUCAUCUAUGUCUGUCUGUCUCUCUAUCUAUCAUCUAUCUGUGUCUAUCAUCGAUCCAAUCAAUCAUUCACAGACGAUGCCCUCACUCAUUCUGCUGUUACCCUCGUUCUUCCAAUGAAAACCCACCUGAUGAAACCCUUAGUUACCUGAGGAAGGGCUGCAGCCCUAGAGAUGGAGCUGAGACGUGGCCCUUCCUACCUCUUUCCUGAAAGUGAUGUGACUCCCGGCCAGUUACGUUUGACCUGCUUCAGGGUCAUGGUUACACGUAUUCGCUCACGUACACAACCGUAGUCAUUGGUGUCGUGGGUCCAUAGACUACUCUGCAGUAACUCAGGCAGCGUUGUCAGUUUGGGUAUUUCAUUUUAUUCCCCCUUAUUAUUGUUGUGUAGAGUCCUUGCAGACACCUGUUGAGCACACGUUUGAAUGUGGGAAACACUUCUCUCUGAUGGAGCACGGGAGGUGAAUUGCAUAUGUGUGAGCUUCCUAGGCACAAGCAUCCUUGGACACUGGAGAUUUACAGGAUCGGCGGCUUCUGGGGAAGCUCAUGGGAGCCCACAUCAGUGGGCUGUUACCUGGGACCAGAACUUCUCCUCAUGGCUGAAUCAGGUCCCGUGUUUUGCUGUGGACGUAGCCGUCUGUUACCUCGGAUGUGUGUGAACUAUUUGACCUGCUCUGGAUGCUGUUCACACCGCAAUUCAUGUUGCCGUCACUCCCUCCAGGAGAUAAGAUGCAAAGGAAUCGGUUUCACCGUGGGACACAGCCCAGGGCUCAGAGCUCCAUUGCCAUGGCAGAUAAAGAUCCAGAGAGGAAACAUCGGGGCUGUACCCGUGGACUCAAGGACUCAGCUCUGCCCUGCGGUGGGCACGCAGAUGGACAUAGCCUCGACGGGUGGACGUGGUUGUGGGCGCGUGACAUGAGGAGCCAGAGACACGCAGAAUGAGGUUUCUCCUGAGCAGGAAGCGUGCCCGUGAGCAACCAGCUGAGAAGUCGACCCAUCACAUGUGAAAAUGAGAAAGUCCCGUCGAGGCCAGACCCCGCUGUCCUUGGAAAGGUGUUGAGUUGAUUUCUUCCAAGGGGUGAGGGAGCAAUUCAGGUUCCCUGCCCAGCGGGUGCUCUGCCUCCCUAGUUCCGGAGGCUGGACUUUCAAGACCUGCUGAGAGCCAUCUUCCUGGUUCAUCAAUGGACGUUCUCUCCAUCAGGACAGAGACAAGACAGUUCCUUCUUACCCGUGAGAGAUACAUGUAUUGUCCAUGACUCCGCAGGAAAUUGAUUUCCCCAACCCGAUGCAGAGAUGGGGAAGGGGGGAGCCAAAAGAAGGGUUUGCUGUCCAUCUUUGGCGCCAGAGGAGAAGUCAGCCCCCAGAAGCUAAGCACUGAGAAGUCCAGUCUUCCACAUCCAGGGGUUUCCAGAUUCCCACUCGUGUAAGAAAUGCAGCGUGAUGUCCCAGUUUUCGUGCUUUUCUUGAGAUGUGGUCCCCUUGGAGGAGCUUCCCCCGCCAGGAUGGAAUUUCAGAGCUUUCGGCUCGAGAAGAAGGGAAAUGCCCCGAACAGCCACCCCCCAGGCCCCUUGUGGCCGCUGAGAAGUUGGGGAGGAUGCAGCCAUAAAGGAGGAUGUGAAAAGUAGGCGCGAUCGCAAGGCACGAAUCUCGGAAUCUUCGUGUUUCAUCGGGAAGGCAGAGGAGGAAGGAAUCUGCGAGGUGCAGCCGCCUCUUCUGACCUCAGGAUGGACGGAGAGGGCGUGAAGGACCCGUCAGUGACCAGCUGUUGCACAGAGAGCCCAGGGGAAGGGGGUGCCCUGGCGGGCACAUGGGAACCGAUGCUGCGGCUCACGAGAAGUUGGAGGAACAAACUGCUUUGUCCCAGGAGAAGAGGAGCAGGAUGGAACAGAUGCCCGCUGUAAUCGUGGGCGGAACCGGAGGGACGGACGCAACGCUUGGCGCUUCCAAUUCUGACAGUGGCUGACCUCACGGGAGAUGGAUGGGGGAGGGUCCAGAUGUUUCGAUGAGGAAACGGAGGCCACUAAGUGUUGUGUAACGUCCCAAGGGGACCCAGCUCUGAAGCGGUGGAGUCAGAAUGGGUUGCUUAACAGCCACCCCCACCCUCGGCUCGGAAGACGUCCACACCCAGGUAUGAAAAUGCCCUGUGGGAGUGUCUGUUGCUGCUCAGCGGGUUAAGAACACAACAUAGCGUCCGUCCAAGGGAUGCGGGUUUGAUCCCUGGCCUCGCUCGGCGAGUUAAGGAUCUGGUGUUGCCACAGGCUGUGGUGUAGGUCACAGGUGCAGUUCAGAGCCUGUGUUGCGGUGGCUGUGGUGUAGACUGGCAGCUGCAGCACUGAUUCGACCCCUAGCUCGGGAACUUCCAUGUGCUGCGGGG
rnacentral:lncRNA from 1 species